rnacentral:rRNA from 1 species
AUUGAACGCUGGCGGCAGGCUUAACACAUGCAAGUCGAACGAGUGGCGGACGGGUGAGUAAUGCUUGGGAAUCUAGCUUAUGGAGGGGGAUAACUACGGGAAACUGUAGCUAAUACCGCGUACCCUAGGAUGAGCCCAAGUGGGAUUAGGUAGUUGGUGCGGUAAAGGCGCACCAAGCCGACGAUCGCUAGCUGGUCUGAGAGGAGGACCGGCCAGACUGGGACUGAGACACGGCCCAGACUCCUACGGGAGGCAGCAGUGGGGAAUAUUGGGCAAUGGGGGCAACCUGACGCAGCCAUGCCGCGUGAAUGAAGAAGGCCUUCGGGUUGUAAAGUUCUUUCGGUAGCGAGGCGUUAACUACAGAAGAAGCAACGGCUAACUCCGUGCCAGCAGCCGCGGUAAUAC